rnacentral:misc_RNA from 1 species
UUUCCGUAGGUGAACCUGCGGAAGGAUCAUCACUGAUUCUGUGCCUUUUUCUGCCCCCCUGUGGACUGUUGCGCGUCUGGCCGGAGCGCGUGCGUGCGCGCGCGCCGGUGCGGGCGUGUUUUCUUUUAAUUCGCGCGCCCGAUCUGCGAAUGCACACACAUAUACACAACUUUUAACAACGGAUCUCUUGGUUCUC